rnacentral:rRNA from 1 species
GGGUGAGUAAUGUCUGGGAAACUGCCUGAUGGAGGGGGAUAACUACUGGAAACGGUAGCUAAUACCGCAUAACGUCGCAAGACCAAAGUGGGGGACCUUCGGGCCUCAUGCCAUCAGAUGUGCCCAGAUGGGAUUAGCUAGUAGGUGGGGUAAUGGCUCACCUAGGCGACGAUCCCUAGCUGGUCUGAGAGGAUGACCAGCCACACUGGAACUGAGACACGGUCCAGACUCCUACGGGAGGCAGCAGUGGGGAAUAUUGCACAAUGGGCGCAAGCCUGAUGCAGCCAUGCCGCGUGUAUGAAGAAGGCCUUCGGGUUGUAAAGUACUUUCAGCGAAGAGGAAGGCGUUAAGGUUAAUAACCUUGGCGAUUGACGUUACUCGCAGAAGAAGCACCGGCUAACUCCGUGCCAGCCGCCGCGGUAAUACGGAGGGUGCAAGCGUUAAUCGGAAUUACUGGGCGUAAAGCGCACGCAGGCGGUCUGUUAAGUCAGAUGUGAAAUCCCCGGGCUCAACCUGGGAACUGCAUUUGAAACUGGCAGGCUUGAGUCUUGUAGAGGGGGGUAGAAUUCCAGGUGUAGCGGUGAAAUGCGUAGAGAUCUGGAGGAAUACCGGUGGCGAAGGCGGCCCCCUGGACAAAGACUGACGCUCAGGUGCGAAAGCGUGGGGAGCAAAACAGGAUUAGAUACCCUGGUAGUCCACGCUGUAAACGAUGUCGACUUGGAGGUUGUUCCCUUGAGGAGUGGCUUCCGGAGCUAACGCGUUAAGUCGACCGCCUGGGGAGUACGGCCGCAAGGUUAAAACUCAAAUGAAUUGACGGGGGCCCGCACAAGCGGUGGAGCAUGUGGUUUAAUUCGAUGCAACGCGAAGAACCUUACCUACUCUUGACAUCCAGAGAACUUAGCAGAGAUGCUUUGGUGCCUUCGGGAACUCUGAGACAGGUGCUGCAUGGCUGUCGUCAGCUCGUGUUGUGAAAUGUUGGGUUAAGUCCCGCAACGAGCGCAACCCUUAUCCUUUGUUGCCAGCGAUUCGGUCGGGAACUCAAAGGAGACUGCCAGUGAUAAACUGGAGGAAGGUGGGGAUGACGUCAAGUCAUCAUGGCCCUUACGAGUAGGGCUACACACGUGCUACAAUGGCAUAUACAAAGAGAAGCGACCUCGCGAGAGCAAGCGGACCUCAUAAAGUAUGUCGUAGUCCGGAUUGGAGUCUGCAACUCGACUCCAUGAAGUCGGAAUCGCUAGUAAUCGUAGAUCAGAAUGCUACGGUGAAUACGUUCCCGGGCCUUGUACACACCGCC